UCCGCAAUGGGCGAAAGCCUGACGGAGCAAUACCGCGUGUGGGAGGAAGGCUCUUGGGUUGUAAACCUCUUUUCUCAGGGAAGAACAGAAUGACGGUACCUGAGGAAUAAGCAUCGGCUAACUCCGUGCCAGCAGCCGCGGUAAUACGGAGGAUGCAAGCGUUAUCCGGAAUGAUUGGGCGUAAAGGGUCCGCAGGUGGCAUUGUAAGUCUGCUGUUAAAGAGUUUGGCUCAACCAAAUAAGAGCAGUGGAAACUACAAAGCUAGAGUGUGGUCGGGGCAGAGGGAAUUCCUGGUGUAGCGGUGAAAUGCGUAGAUAUCAGGAAGAACACCAGUGGCGAAGGCGCUCUGCUAGGCCGAGACUGACACUGAGGGACGAAAGCUAGGGGAGCGAAUGGGAUUAGAUACCCCAGUAGUCCUAGCCGUAAACGAUGGAUACUAGGCGUAGCUCGUAUCGACCCGAGCUGUGCCGGAGCUAACGCGUUAAGUAUCCCGCCUGGGGAGUACGCAGGCAACUGUGAAACUCAAAGGAAUUGACGGGGGCCCGCACAAGCGGUGGAGUAUGUGGUUUAAUUCGAUGCAACGCGAAGAACCUUACCAAGGCUUGACAUGUCACGAAUCCUAUUGAAAGAUGGGAGUGCCUUCGGGAGCGUGAA
rnacentral:rRNA from 1 species